rfam:Triticum aestivum genome assembly, contig: Triticum_aestivum_CS42_TGACv1_scaffold_061114_1DL
UAAGUACUCCCUCCGUCCGAAAAAGCUUGUCCCAAGCUUGCUUCUCAAAUGGAUGUAUCUAGCACUAACUUGGUGCUAGAUACAUCCAUUUGAGGGACAAGAUUUUUCGGAUGGAGGGAGUAUCUC